GUAAAAAAUAAAAUUCAACAAUAAUUAGGAGUUUAUCAUCUAUUCAUUCGUAUCUUGGUUUUAAUCAGAUGUUGACUUUAUUUUUCUUUAGUUUACCGAUUUGUCUCACAAUUACAUUGCGUCUGAUUAUGAACUGAUGAUAGACAUUUGCAAGAGUGAGAUAAAUUUUCUGAAGUCCAGUUGGCAAAACAUGCUUGGUCGACCGCUCGUUACAAUUAUAUGUAGAAGAUUCCAUUUAGAGGAUGGCAGAAUACCCUUAGCUAUGAUCACAACUAUGAAGAAACUGAAAUCUGGAUAUAUAAAUGGAACUCGUGUUACUUUAGGAAACCUAUCCGAAUUUCUAAACACCAGUUCAAUUACAAACUUAAGUUUUCUUGGAUGUCAUGAAGAUGGUGUUCCA
rnacentral:lncRNA from 1 species